GUUCAUACGUGUUUUUCGAUUCUAGUUUGUAUAUAGAGUAGACUGUUGGUUUUUCCGUUCGAAUGGUUUAACACUAGUAUUUUUUCAAAGCUUGCUAUUCGGUGUGAGCCCUAGCCCCGUGUUAACGUUGAAGACAUCACCUUGACCUAUAAUUGUUUACAUUUAUAAAUAGUUACUUGGAUUGAAAUAGAGUUGUCUCACUGACACUCAUACCGCAUCUUCCUAUAUCUAUAUAUAUAUUGGAAUCUAAACCAUAAAAAAAAUUAUGUGAGGGGACUGGGCAUGAUACCUUUAACCCAGGGUCAAACUCUUUGUCAGAAUUGGGACCAAUGUAGGAAAAGUGCGAAACUAUCUGUGUUUAAAAGAACAUAUGUAAUUUCAAGCUCCAUCAAUUUAUUAAACAUUGCAUUGGUUUGUAGUGACAACUCCAGUUCCAAC
rnacentral:lncRNA from 1 species